rnacentral:lncRNA from 1 species
AAGGUAAGUUGUUUUAACUUGUUUAGCACGACCUAGGAGGCUGAAAAGUUCGAUUUUGGUUCAAAACGACUUUGUUUAAACCAAUGAAUUUACCAAUUCAACCCAAGAUUGCUGGUAGAGUGUGUCAGUAUUGAUAUAUUUUUGUUGUUUUUGGGUACGUAUAUAUGCAGGCUGAAAAGAUGACUACUGAUCCAGUGAAAAAGGAGAUGGCUGAGCGGAAGAAGAGGAAAAGUUCUUUGAAGCAGAGUGUGAGAAGGGACGGAUGCGCAAAGCUGCCAGGAGAGGCGACCACAACCCUCCACACGGCGGGUGAUCCGCUCGGCCACGCUGGUUACUCGGCUCAAGGGCCGGUUAGGGAGGAUUAUCCAACUAGCGUGACUAGUGGAGUU